GACGAACGCUGGCGGCGUGCUUAACACAUGCAAGUCGAGCGGUAAGGCCCUUUCGGGGGUACGACGAGCGGCGAACGGGUGAGUAACACGUGGGUGACCUGCCCUCAGCUCUGGGAUAAGCCUGGGAAACCGGGUCUAAUACUGGAUAUGACUCCAUGACGCAUGUUGUGGGGUGGAAAGCCUUGUGCGGCUGAGGAUGGGCCCGCGGCCUAUCAGCUUGUUGGUGGGGUGAGGCCUACCAAGGCGACGACGGGUAGCCGGCCUGAGAGGGCGACCGGCCACACUGGGACUGAGACACGGCCCAGACUCCUACGGGAGGCAGCAGUGGGGAAUCUUGCGCAAUGGGCGAAAGCCUGACGCAGCGCGCCGCGUGAGGGAUGACGGCCUGG
rnacentral:rRNA from 1 species